rnacentral:rRNA from 1 species
AACGAACGCUGGCGGCAUGCCUAACACAUGCAAGUCGAACGAGACCUUCGGGUCUAGUGGCGCACGGGUGCGUAACGCGUGGGAACCUGCCCUUAGGUUCGGAAUAACUCCCCGAAAUGGGUGCUAAUACCGGAUAAUGUCUUCGGACCAAAGAUUUAUCGCCUUUGGAUGGGCCCGCGUUGGAUUAGCUAGUUGGUAGGGUAAAAGCCUACCAAGGCGACGAUCCAUAGCUGGUCGGGGAGGAUGAUCAGCCACACUGGGACUGAGACACGGCCCAGGCUAAUACGGGAGGAAGGAGGGGGGAAUAAUGGACAAUGGGCGAAAGACUGAUCCAGCAAUGCCGCGUGAGAGAUGAAGGCCUUAGGGUUGUAAAGCUCUUUUACCCGGGAGGAUAAUGACAGUACCGGGAGAAUAAGCUCCGGCUAACUCCGUG